GAUGAACGCUAGCUACAGGCUUAACACAUGCAAGUCGAGGGGCAGCAUGAACUUAGCUUGCUAAGUUUGAUGGCGACCGGCGCACGGGUGAGUAACACGUAUCCAACCUGCCGAUGACUCGGGGAUAGCCUUUCGAAAGAAAGAUUAAUACCCGAUGGCAUAGUUCUUCCGCAUGGUGGAACUAUUAAAGAAUUUCGGUCAUCGAUGGGGAUGCGUUCCAUUAGGUUGUUGGCGGGGUAACGGCCCACCAAGCCUUCGAUGGAUAGGGGUUCUGAGAGGAAGGUCCCCCACAUUGGAACUGAGACACGGUCCAAACUCCUACGGGAGGCAGCAGUGAGGAAUAUUGGUCAAUGGACGAGAGUCUGAACCAGCCAAGUAGCGUGAAGGAUGACUGCCUAUGGUUGUAAACUGCUUUAUAAGGUAAUAAGUGAGUCUCGUGAGACUUUUUGCAUGUACCUUAUGUAAUAA
rnacentral:rRNA from 1 species